rnacentral:rRNA from 1 species
AUACGUAGGGGGCUAGCGUUAUCCGGAAUUACUGGGCGUAAAGGGUGCGUAGGUGGUUUCUUAAGUCAGAGUGAAAGGCUACGGCUCAACCGUAGUAAGCUCUUGAAACUGGGAAACUUGAGUGCAGGAGAGGAAAGUGGAAUUCCUAGUGUAGCGGUGAAAUGCGUAGAUAUUAGGAGGAACACCAGUGGCGAAGGCGACUUUCUGGACUGUAACUGACACUGGGGCACGAAAGCGUGGGGAGC